rnacentral:misc_RNA from 1 species
ACACCUCAACUCUUCAUGGUUUUCCAUGAUGAGCUUGGACUUUUGGGGGUCUUGUUGGCCUAUGGUCAGCUCCUCUAAAAUAAAUCAGCUUGCCAGUGUUUGGUGGGUAUCACAGGUGUGAUAACUAUCUACGCUUGUGGUUUUCCACCAGGUAACCUUCAGCAGUGGAGGUCCACUGGAGCUCACAGAUGUGUCUCUCCUCAGUGAGGACAGCUCUUUGAAU